GACGAACGCUGGCGGCGUGCCUAAUACAUGCAAGUUGAGCGCUGAAGGUUGGUACUUGUACCAACUGGAUGAGCAGCGAACGGGUGAGUAACGCGUGGGGAAUCUGCCUUUGAGCGGGGGACAACAUUUGGAAACGAAUGCUAAUACCGCAUAAAAACUUUAAACACAAGUUUUAAGUUUGAAAGAUGCAAUUGCAUCACUCAAAGAUGAUCCCGCGUUGUAUUAGCUAGUUGGUGAGGUAAAGGCUCACCAAGGCGAUGAUACAUAGCCGACCUGAGAGGGUGAUCGGCCACGUUGAGACGGAGACACGGCCCAAACUCCUACGGGAGGCAGCAGUAGGGAAGCUUCGGCAAUGGACGAAAGUCUGACCGAGCAACGCCGCGUGAGUGAAGAAGGUGUUCGGAUCGUAAAACUCUGUUGGUAGAGAAGAACGUUGGUGAGAGUGGAAAGCUCAUCAAGUGACGGUAACUACCCAGAAAGGGACGGCUAACUACGUG
rnacentral:rRNA from 1 species